GGAGAAGAGGACUGUGAUUGUGGAUAACAAAUGAACUGACUGAUAACAAGCAUGGAUUCACAUGUUUCCAGUUGAAACAACACCUGGAAAGAAUCAAGACUGACAAUAUGGGCUCCAGCUACUAUUUCAAGGAAGAAAACACCAGUCCUUUAGAACAAAUGACAAGGAAAUCCUCAUCUAACC